AGGCGAGGAGAACAGCAGCU
rnacentral:miRNA from 1 species